ensembl:lncRNA
CGUGAACAUGCCAGUUAUAGCUAGCUAAUAAAGAGCUACGUUAAGAAAUAUCCUGUAGUACUGCAUUAUAUUAUUUUGUACAAAAUGUACAAAACAUGGUGUCAGAGUAAAAGGUCUUAAAAUAUGAAUUUUUCUGGAGUUCCUUUACCUCGAAUGGACUGGGACUCUACAAAUUUACCCAAUGCAUGGCGUAAGUACAAACAGCAUGUGAAGCUAAUGUUCACGGGUCCUCUGAAGGACAGAGGAGAAGAGGAAAAGUGCAGCUACCUGCUCCUCUGAAUCGGUGAAAAAGGAGAGAUAUUUACAACACAUGGACACUUACCGAGGCUGAAUCAAAGCUUGGAACCUCACAGCAGAGAGCCAGGAGCUGCAGCACGGGUCAGACUCACAGCUGAGAGCACGGUCAGAGCACACAGCUGGCAGUGAUAUGUCACAACAUAUUGGGUGGGGAGAAGCAAGAUGGAAUCAUGGUCGGAUUUGCCGAAAGGAGGACGGGAGAAGGUCUUAUACCCGCAUCAAAAAGGCUUGUAGCAG